rnacentral:rRNA from 1 species
UACGGGGGGGAGCAAGCGUUUGUUCGGAUUUACUGGGCGUAAAGGGCGCGUAGGCGGCCACCGCAAGUCGGUUGUGAAAUCUCUGGGCUUAACCCAGAAAGGUCAACCGAUACUGCGGGGCUAGAGUGCAGAAGGGGCAACUGGAAUUCGUCGGUGUAGCGGUGAAAUGCGUAGAUAUCGAGAGGAACACCUGCGGCGAAGGCGGGUUGCUGGGCUGACACUGACGCUGAAGCGCGAAAAGCUAGGGGGAGCGAACGGG